GACAAUAACCACUGUCAAAACAGCAAUAAAAAUAAUAUUAAAAAACAGCAAUAAAAAACCUAAUUUUGCAUCCAGCUCUGUUCCAAGCAAAAAUAAAAAAAAUAAACAAAAACAAACCAGCUUUCUGUUGAGUGCAUCUUUGAUUUAAAGGACUUGUUAUUUCUCUAAAUUUGCAGAUGUGUUGAGGCUUGAAAUUUGAGCCUGUGACUGUUUUACGAGUUUCAACAGAAAAUAUUAAACCACCUAAAAUGACAGAGGGUAAACUUUCAGUAAAUAAUUUGGAGCCAUUCAGUUGUAGAUCUGUUUUUUGUUCAUUCCAGUUGCAUAAAAUAUUAGGAAUCACUGGGCUCUGUUUGACACAUUUUGUCAUUAUUGCCACUCUUUCGAGUGCUCAAUAGCCAUCUAUGUGUAGUGGCUGCCAUAUACAGACACAGAACAUUCUCAUCAUCACAGAAUGUCCCAUUGGACAAUGCUGUUCUGUAGCAUUAACUUUGAUUUUCACAGCUGCCAGAUUUUUGGGUUGAUCAAAACCAACCCCUUUGCAAGAAAAUGCUUUUAGAGUGAGACAGAGCAGCUCUGGCAACUAAAAUGGUAAGUGAAGUACCUGAGUGUUCAUUUUGAAAAAAUUGCUUUCUAAUAACACUUUCUUUAUUGCUGGGCCCUUCUGCAUAGUUACCUUAAGCUUGAGUAAAUCAUUCCUAAAGACCUCAUUCUAAUGUUUUAUUAAAGCAAUAAUAGACUAAAAUGGAAAUUGUUAAUAAAAUGGUUUUUAUUAAAGUAUUUAUAGUACAUGCUAGAAAUAUGAACUGAUGACACAACUAGUAUGUGUCACUUGGCCUGUGAAACCAUAUGUGGGAUAUAAAGAUAUGUUCAAUUAUAUACAUUUAUUGAGCACCUAUUAUGUGUCAGAUAUAUGCACAACAGGUGGCUAAACUGCUAUGGACCUUCUUGUACAUGUUUUUUCUGUAUGCUUUUUCUUGGGUAUUUACUUAGGAGUAGAAAUUUGGGUCACAGAGUAUACAUAUGUUGAGAGUUAUUAUCUCUUUCCUUAUCCUCGUGUGAGUUGUACACCUUCUCAUUAGCAUAUGUGCUCAAUUUCACUUAUGCAUGGAGGCUCUUUCUUUGAAAUGUUUUGAAUGCCCUAGGAGAAGUACGCUAUGUAUUUCAACGAACAAGCUUUCAAUCUGUUCACACUUGCCCAGGAUAAAUUGGUUCCACUGGCAGGAUACCCAACCCAAUCUAGAACUACAUCAAUCCUGUUCUGAUCUAAAUAGCUUGGGGCUUUCUUUUGUGACCAAAACUGGACCCCUACCCAGCCAGCUCAAGCUCUUGGUUUUAAGAGGAAUCAAUGAAAGGACAGAUCAGGUUAAAUCAUCCUCAAGAUCUGAAAAACAAUUUAAGUAUGUGUUCUGGUGAGAGUUGGCUAGCAUCUUCAUUUUAAAAAAUACUGUAUUUCUCUUUUUCUCAGACCCAUGUUAAACAAGAAUCAUGGAAGGAGGGUUUCCUGUCCAGGGAUUGAACACUGUUGCAGAGUUUCUUCCAAUCACCAGCUACUGAGCAAGCUGGGAAUGAAAUGGGUACCUCUGCCAGAUUUGCUUUUCAUCCAGUUUCCAAAGCUGGCAGAAUACUAUCCAUUCUCCAGAUGCCAUCCUGGGAGGUAGGAUCUUCAUUUUUAUCUGCUGCACUGAGCUUAUCAUUGUUAUCUACACUUGAACAGGCUCAUUCAUCAUCUCUACAUUGUGUUAAUAUAGCCAUUAAUGAUAUAUGAAACAUUCCUUCUAGUUU
rnacentral:lncRNA from 1 species